rnacentral:lncRNA from 1 species
CCGGACUCGGGGCACUGCCUCCCGCCGCCGCCCGCCGGCCCCGGAGCAGCUCGCCCGCCGCCGCGGAGCCGGAGGUACCGGGGAGCGCGCGCAGGGCGAGGCGGGCGGGGGCUCGGGGCGCCGCGGGGGCGCGGGGGCGCGCGGACCACCUGUUCCGGAGGGACCUCCGCGUGCGCACCGGCUGCUCCCCGGCCACUGCGCCCCGAAGAUGGAUCUGCGGGCGUGGAGAGUCUGUGGAAGGGCCGUGUUCCUGUUGGCAGAGAAGGUUGGCUGCUGAGCCAGGGCGUGUCUCCCAGAGGGCGCCAGGCCGCCUGGAUCCCCAUCUCGUCGCCAUGGGCCGCCCAGGCUGCCACCUGCAGGGCCUCCAGGAUGUUCUUGGCUGCCUGCCAGGUGGACAUCACCAGGAGAGGGUGAGGGUCGAAGGGCAAUAGUCCGAGGUGAGAUUACAGGCUGCAGCACCAUCUUCCUGGCCCUGGCCCUCCAGACCUGUGUCUGUGAGAAGCAUGGCCCAGGGCAGGGGCUGGGGAGGCCAGGUGCCCAGGAGACCCCACUGCGUCUGAGACAGAGGCUUUAGGACCCAGCAUGCGUCCCCGUGUGCCUGGAGCCCACCCGUUGUGCAAGCUUGCAUGCCAGCCCUUAGCACGCCAGUGUCCAGGCCUGCCCAAGCCCCAGGCUUUUCUGCUGAAAGUCCCCAAGGCUACUUGGCAGUGUGCCCUCUUGGCCUGGUUUGUGGGACUGAAUGGGGCCGAGGGGUACAUGUGUGAGGCCUCGAAUCAGGGGCUACCAGCAGCCUGAGGGGGCCAGGCCUCCCCAGACAAGGACCCGGCCUGGGUCCAUGAUGGCCAUGUCGUAGGUAGCACUGGCUCAGGUCUCGGGAAGCUCACAGGUGUGUCACAGAGUGAAAGGGACUCUGCCCAGACCUCAGCCUGUGGCCUGCCGCUCCCG